AGAGGAAUUAUUGGGUCAAAUGGUAACUCUAUGUUCAACUUUUUGAGAAACUGCCAGACUUUUUCCCAAAGUGGUUACACCAUUUUAUAUUCCCACCAGCAGU
rnacentral:pre_miRNA from 3 species